AACGAACGCUGGCGGCAUGCCUAACACAUGCAAGUCGAACGAGACCUUCGGGUCUAGUGGCGCACGGGUGCGUAACGCGUGGGAAUCUGCCCCUUGCUUCGGAAUAACAGUUAGAAAUGACUGCUAAUACCGGAUGAUGACUUCGGUCCAAAGAUUUAUCGGCAAGGGAUGAGCCCGCGUAGGAUUAGGUAGUUGGUGGGGUAAAGGCCUACCAAGCCGACGAUCCUUAGCUGGUCUGAGAGGAUGAUCAGCCACACUGGGACUGAGACACGGCCCAGACUCCUACGGGAGGCAGCAGUGGGGAAUAUUGGACAAUGGGCGCAAGCCUGAUCCAGCAAUGCCGCGUGAGUGAUGAAGGCCCUCGGGUCGUAAAGCUCUUUUACCAGGGAUGAUAAUGACAGUACCUGGAGAAUAAGCUCCGGCUAACUCCGUGCCAGCCGCCGCAGUAA
rnacentral:rRNA from 1 species